rnacentral:tRNA from 1 species
GGGCAGUUAGCGAAGUGGCCAAACGCGGUAGACUGUAAAUCUAUUGACUGAUGUCUUCGGAGGUUCGAAUCCUUCACUGCCCA